GUAGUCUCGCACAGAUGCAUAUCAAUAAGCGGAGGAAAAGAAACUAACAAGGAUUCCCCUAGUAACGGCGAGUGAAGCGGGAAGAGCUCAAAUUUGAAAUCUUAAAGGGUUUCCCUUUACGAAUUGUAGUUUAAAGAAGUGUUUUCUGUUGAGGUUUUGGUAAAAGUUCUUUGGAAUAGGACAUCAUAGAGGGUGAGAAUCCCGUAUUUGACCUUUACUUUCAACUUUGUGAUACACUUUCAAAGAGUCGGAUUGUUUGGGAAUGCAGUCCAAAAUGGGUGGUAAAUUUCAUCUAAAGCUAAAUAUUGGCGAGAGACCGAUAGCGAACAAGUACCGUGAGGGAAAGAUGAAAAGAACUUUGAAAAGAGAGUUAAACAGUACGUGAAAUUGUCAAAAGGGAAGCGUUUGACACCAGUGUUGUUUUUCUGAAAAUCAAUUAAAGAACUGUUUAUGCUAAGUUGUUUAGACUUUAUCAGCUAACUGUUUAGUUUUGAGCUUUUCUUUAAUGCACUUUUCAGGUUAACAAGUCAACAUCAAUUUCUUUUGCUGUAAAAAAGCUUGAGGAAGGUGGCUUGAGAUUCGUCUUAAGUGUUUAUAGCCUCUUGCCUAUGCAGUCGGAGAGAUUGAGGUCUGCAGCGUAGAUCCUUCGGGGCUAAAUGCAUUUGUGCUAAGUUAUAGCAUUUUAUAGACAACUUGUUGACUAUGAUUUGUCUUGUAGCUUACUCGCUUAUGUUAUUUUACCUACGCUUAGGAUGUUGAUCUGUAGUGCGUGCGC
rnacentral:rRNA from 1 species